AUGCUAAGGGGACCAAAUAUUAGAAUCAGCCGCUGAACCUAAAGUUAGACCCCUAAAAUCAACCGCAAAUCUCUUUCUUUUUUCAGAAAAGACGGCAGCUUCAUGCCCAAAUUCCACUUUUUCUGAUUCUUAAACCAUCUUUCUUUUCCAUUUAAAGACACACACAUAUACAGAAGGAGAUUAAACAAAGGAAAUGGAAGUUUAGCCAUCAAAUAGCUAAAAAUAGCUUUAAACCCAGCUGACUACAAAAUGAAAAACAGCCUUCCCCCUUUGAUUUUUGGAUUCACCUCCUUUCUCUCAAAAUUCAACUCACACGUAUAAAUACUACACUACUCAUAACAAAAGGGGAGGGCACAUCGAGUUCUGGUGAAAGUUCGAGGUCGACAGUGCAUGCCUUUCCGUCGAGGUCUCUAUCGCGAUUCCAUCUUUGGAACAAAUCAUCAGUUAAAAAAUCAAAAGUGAAAGUUUAAUAUUAAGGUAUUGGCCCCAGUGGAGUUCAGAGAGGUGUUAACUAUAACACAAAGAAGUGCUGCAUAUCUGUUUGCAGGCUGUUGGAGUUGCCUUCCUCUCUUUUGUUAUUACUGCUUAGUUUAUUCAAAAAAAUAUUGUGAAUUUAUUCUAGACCUUUGUAUUUGAUACUCCUAGAAACUCAUGUACUCUGUUACAGCAGAUCCGAGAUGCUUGUGGUGGUU